rnacentral:rRNA from 1 species
CAAUGGUUUUUUAAAUUGCUGUAGUAUUUUGACUAUACAAAGGUAUUGAAAUAAGGUUUUAAUUGAAUGCUAAAAGAAUGGAAUAUCAAAGAAUAACUUUCUUAAAAUUAAAAAUUGAAAUUUUUUUAAUUUGUGUAAAAACAAUUAUAUAAAUUAAAGACAAGAAGACCCUAAGAAUGAUUAAAAUUUAAAUUAACACAUUUUUGUUUUAAUUAAAUUUUAACUGGGGCGGUUAAAAAAUAUUAAAAACUUUUUAAUUUUGAAAAUGACCCAUUAUUAAUGAAGAUAUGAUAAAACACUCUAGGGAUAAGAGCGUUAUAUUUUUUGAUAGAUCAUAUUGACAAAAAAGUUUGCGACCUCGAUGUUGGAUUAGGAUACUUUUUUAAUGAAGAUAUUAAAAUAAGAAGUUUGUUCAACUUUUAA